GAGGGCAUAGCUCCACGGUAGAGUGCGUGCUUAGCAUGCACAAGGUCCUGGAUUCAAUCCCCAGUCCCUCCA
rnacentral:tRNA from 1 species